UUUUUUACAAUUACAAACGCCCACAAAAGAGCAAAUUAUACGUAUGUAGACGUUAUAUGUUCAUUAUCUAAAUGAAAAAGAACCCACUCUCUUAUUGGCACAAUUUCGUUAGCUUCCGGGGGCUUCGCCCCCUGCACCCCCAUCAGUGCAAAGCUUCAAGGCAACCCCAGCCUUCUACUGCCCCCCCCCUCCCCCCGUUAUGAAAUUGCUGGAUCCGCCACUGAUGUUUAUAAAAUAAUGAUUAAAAAAACAGAACACCCCCAACCCCCCAAAAAGACCCCCAACGACUUACGUAGAUAAUCGUUCUCAAUGUGGGCCCCCCUACACAAUGCAGUGUGUCACAUUAGGCCUAAUGCAUAACGACCUCUUGCGGAAGUUUGACACAUACGUGUCAUCAUGGUCUGCGAUUUUAAGUAGAGGCGGAUAUGAAUUAGUUGUUUUUCCGCAUCUGAAAAUGGCAUCCUUUCUCAGAACUAAGACUUAAUUUAUUUGAAUCUAUAAAUGCAAUGCAGUUGCAUGUUCCUAUAUCCUUAGAAUUAUUACUCUGUGGAAAUGAAACCCUUAAUUUCAACGAUAAUGCAAAGAUCUUCAAAUUUGUUCAAAAUUACAUCUUUCAAAGCAAAAGACUUUAACAAUGCAUUUAAAAUAUGUAUUUGUAAUGCAUUUAUCUAUUCUCUUACUAGUAUAUGUAUUAUGUAUUUAGCCUUGAACCGGUACCCCCCCCCCCCCCUUUUUAUUUUAUUUUUUUUAUGUUUACUUGUUAUCAAGGUUCUUCUUAUUUUUAUAUUGUCAAUAUUUAUCAUACAUAUUGUAUAUAUACUCAUGCUCAUCAUUAUACAUACAUGUAAUCACCUUGUACCUUAUUGGAGAAGGCUCUUAUAGGCUGCAAGCCUGCUGCCUAAUCCAUUUAUGUUUCAUACAUAAUAAAAUAUUGUUUAAAUAAAAUUAACUCUUUGGUAUGCCGGUUGAUGGAAAACACAGCAACAACCUCCCUCUUCAUUGGUUAAGGGUGAGUGUGGCCUACACGCAAAUGAGGAAUAAAAUAAAUCCUGCCAUUUGAUCUGACAGAGAGAUUCAUUAUUGUACACAUCUAUGAAAAUUGUGACAUUAAAUGAUCAUGAUCAGCUUGAUUAAUUGUAGGCUUGUGAAUGGAUCUCAAUGUACAUAUCUGUACACGUAUCCUUACAACAAUAACGAACAGGGAGGGGGGGGGGGGGUCAAACAUAUAAAUAAUAAAAAAAAAAGUACUAAAAAGCUGGAUUCAGAGCGAGAAGAACAAGCUGGACUCAAAGCUGUUACAUGUAUACCGCCGGGGUGGGGGUGGGGUGGUGCCAUAGUGGUUUAAUGUUUGCACAGAAAUCUAUAGAAAACAUAUCUGAAUAUUUACAUUCCCAAUGUUUCGCUACAGAUUGUAAUGAUAUAGCCUUACUAGUGAACUGUAUAUAGAUAGGCCCAUUUUCAAUACUUCCCAUCAAAGAUGUAUAGUAAAGAUCUUUUAUUUCAUUCCAAAAUACUUUAAAGAAUUCUACUGGUAGACAAAUGCAGAUUAUGCGAGGUUUUCCCAUGGUUUAGCCAGCCAAUUACAAAAUGUUGCGAAUAGAAUAAUUGCAAUUUAAUUAAAAUCAGAUCCUAUAGGACACGUUCACAAUCGCAGAGUAUAUAUACAGCGCGGAUCUAAGAAGUCUGAUUUUAAUUAGAUUAAGAAUAAUUGCCCAAUGCGGACGUGAACAAAGUGCAUAUAUCAAAUGGAGGUACAUAGGGGAGAAUGCACGAUUAAUGCUGGAUAUAUUUAAAUACUGUAUGACAAAUGACCAAGGUGGUAUAUUACUUUUUUCUUGAUUUUGAGAAAGCGUUUGAUUCCGUUGAAUAUAAUUUCAUGUACAAAGUUUCGGAGAAUUUUAAUUUUGGUAAUAUGCUUAUCAGGGUGAUAAAUCACUUGGAGUAUAUCUUGGACAUGAUAAAGAAGCAUGCUAUAUAAAAAAUCUGGAUGAGUAAAUUAGAAAAACGGGGGGGGGGGGGGUUCAAGUGUUUGGAAAAGACGAAACAUAAAUAUCUUUGGAAAAUGUAUGAUUAUGAUCAGGCUGGCAAUAUCGAAAUGGGAUUAUAAUGCCUUUAUUUUGCCUAAUCAUCCUAAACCUCAUUUUUCAAAAAGGUAUAAAAAAUUAUAUACAUCUUUUCAUGGAAAAAGAGAGAUAGAAAAAUUCAACAAGGCGGUAUAGGAAUGGUUGAUAUUGAGAGUAAAUUGCUGCAAAACCUUCUUGGAUAAAGAGACUAGCUAUUGGAUUAAGAAAGUAUAACACAAAAAUUACGAAAGAAAAUACUAAAAAAGAUGAAUAUGUCAGUGAAAGAAGUUUUAAAAAAUCCAACAGAUUAUAAAUUUGUACAACACAGUGCCACAACACUAUGGUGAAGUUUUCACUGCAUUCAACAAAUGCUAAAAAUAUCAAGAUACAUUUAUAACCACACUGAAAAAAGAUGAAUCCUUGUCAGAAUUUAUUUGGAAUGAUAAUCUAUUUCAAUAUAAAUCCAGAACUGAAUAAAAAUUGGGAUUCUAUAUAUGUUAAAGACUUAUAUUUAAUGAUGCAUGAAUCGAUAUAUUUUACAAGUAUUUUGUAAAAAAGAAUGAAAUGAUUUGUGAAUAUGUUAUGCUAACACACGAUAGUAGAUUAUACAGAAAUGAUUUUGAUUGCACUUAUACAAAAUAUGUAAAUAUAUUUGAUAAUGAAUCAUUUUUAUUCAAGGACAGAUGUGAGAGGUCAGUGAUAUAUAUCUAUGAUCUCGGGGAUGAUUUUUAUUAUUCUGUAUUUUUGAAUUCGAAAUUCUGUAAACCAACAUAUGAAAAAAGUGGAACAAUGUUGUCAGAGUAUUCGUCAAUUGUGUUCAGAAAAAUAUCUAUAUAUAUCCAAAAUAAAAAAUAUAUACGAAAGAAAAGUUGCAGAAUUCAACUACAAAUUAUUACAUUGUAUUUUAUGUAAUAAUUCGAGUGCUAGUAAAUGGAACAAAGAUGUUUCUUCUUUAUGUGAAUUUAAUCAAAUUAUAGAAGAAAAUGAGCACCUUUUAUUCACAUGCAAACUUACAAGAAACUGUUUUAUACUGAAGUAAAAAAAAAAAACCCCAUUAGAUGAACAUUAUAUCUUUUAAUUCAUUUCAAUUCAUAAAUACAAAAUGCAAUGUAAAUUCAACAAAGUUAGCAUGUCUGAGGCAAACUUUCGAAUGACGCUAAUUAUACUGUCUCUUCAUGCAAAACAAUGUUCUAGGAUAAACGAAUAAAAUUAUAGAUAAACCAUUUCGUAUUGAUUUAUUAAAAUACGAUAUGUUUGUGGUAUGUAUGAUUUGAAUCCAUUGUAUGUAUAUGGUACAGUGAUACAGUAUGAUUUGAAUACUUUCAUGCAGUGCGAGAGAAAAAUCUAUAAUGUUCAAUAUUUGUUUUGAUACAUGUAUGUGUAAACAUUGUAAAUAAGAGAGAGAGAGAGUCAGAGAGAAAGAGAGAGAGAGAGUCAGAGAGAGAGAGAGAGAGAGAGAGAGAGAGAGAGAGAGAGAGUCAAUGUCAAUCUAUUUCCCCCAAAAUUCUCUGAAAUCAGUAUCUGAUUAAAAAGAUUUUCGUUGGUAUUUCUGUUUAGUUUAAACAUUAUUAAAGAAUAUUGCAUAAAAUCACUCUUCGUUGACUCAAAGUACCCCCCAAAAAGUCUUAUCCCAUUCAGAUCAAAACCCACAAUAUUGGAAUACGAAUCUCAUUCACCCUAUUCUAUGUGUUGGGUCUAUCUCCAGAAAUAACAAAAGAAAACAAAAUCCAGAAAUCUACACAAGUGCAUGUAGAAGUAUGAUCAAAAUAUCAUAAAGCUGAAUAGAUAUACUCAACCAGUUUCUUUUUAUACAGUAGCUUCUUAUCGAUAUCAGUUUUACUUACAUUGCUUUCAAAGUCAGCGUGGCCAAAUGGUUAACAUGUACGGUUUGUUUUUGCGGUCCCCUGUACAGGCAUUUUCUAUAUGAUUUUAGCAAUGCAUGUAUUACAACAUUUGAAUAAUUAAGUUAUUUUGCGUUUUGCACAUGAAUCAGACACACAUGUAUGUACAUAAAACUGAUAUGUACACAGUAGCAUUAGUUGUUUGUUUGUUUGUUUGUGUGUGUGUUCGAAUUUUUGUCAAGAAAAAAUAUCCACAUACCAUUAACUUGGCCAAUGCGCCAUGCUACAUGUAAGUACUGUCAUAUACACUUCCGUUUAUACACACGAGUUUGCGAGAUAUUAUUGGGAAAGGCCAUAUACCCUAAAGUCAUUAAAAACAACUAAACACCAGGAAAUAAAAAUAAACACACAUAGUUACUGAAAAUAAACACACAUAGUUACUAAAAGUAUAACUGCCGUUCUCAUUUACCACGCAUAAUUAGUUUCAAAUUUGGUUAGUGCAUUUUAACAAAUAAUUUUUUUUUAAAAACAUCAUAAACGAAAGCAUAUGUAAUAAUACAUGUAUAACAAUUUCAAUACGAUAUGAAAUUGGAUGAAUAAAUAUAUUAAAUGCAUUUAGAUAUGUUGAUCAACAUCAAAUCAUUGAUAUAUCAAUUAAGUAAUUGCAAUAAGCAAGCAAUGAUCUUAUCACACUUAAAUAAAUAAAAAAAAAUGUUCAAUCGGUAUAUACAUACAUACAUACAUACAUACAAAUAUACAUGCAUAAAAUUACCAAGGAUAACCCAUGGAAGCUCAAAAGCUUAUUUCCAAUGUAGUCCUUUAGAUGCAUGGAUGUUGGCGCUAGGGGUCAUCCUAUUUUUAUUGUGUUGGUUAUAACACAUUCAGGGACUCGUGUCUAUCUCUACUGUCCAGGAAAUCUCUUUGUAAUGCUUUAAUUCAGUGUCAUAUUGACUAUGCAUGUACAUCGUGGUACGAUGGUUUGACUGUUAAGCUUAAGAAAAAACUACAGAUUAUUCAAAACAAAGUUAUUAGAUUUAUCUUAGAUUUAUCCCCUAGAAGUAGUAUCAACGCUGAAAUAUUUGAAAAGCUGGAGUAUUUGAACAUUAGCAAUAUAGAGUAACACAGCUUCGACUGAAUCACGCCUUUAAUAUUUUUCAUGAAUAAUGUCCAGAUUUAUUUGAAAAAUAAUUGUAGAAGAAAUUGUUCAUCCAGAUCAACUAGAUCAAGUAAGCUUAAUUUCUUUUUACCAAGGGUUGAGAAAAUGGAAUCAGAAUUUUUUUAAUUUAACGGCAUCAAAGACUGGAAUUCUAUCCCUGAUCAAAUAAAAUGUAUAAACAAUAGAUUUUCAUUCAAAUCUGCAGUUAAAAAAAACAUUUACUCAAUGAAAUGAAGAAAAUGGCAGAUAGUGACUUCUUGUAUUAUUGAUCCACAUUGUCUUGUUCAUACAUAUAGUUAUUACGGUUGUUAUUUAUUCCAACAAUUUUCAAUACUAAGCACCGUUGAAAUGUAAAGUAUUUAAAGUAUUUUUAUGUGUUUCAAAUCAAUGUCUUUCAAUAUCGUUUUGUUUGCAUUGUUUUAUCAUGCUAAUAAUGAUAAUAUAUUGUGUAUGUCAUAUUAUAAGAUCAGAAGGACCCCAUUGGAAUAAGCUAUACGGCUUUCAUGGGUUAUCCUUGGCAUAGGCAUAUACAUUAAUUUACUCACUGUGCUGUUAAAGUCAAAUAGCUGUUAAAAUUUACCUUUUUAUCUUACGUAUUUAACAACAACUUUUGUUUUAACUAUGUGUUCCUCUGUGAUAUUGUCUUGUAUUUAUAUUGUAUAUGUGCCUAUUCCUAAAUAAAUAAACUAAAAAAAAUAAUUUUAAAAAAGGAGGUGAUUAAUGAACGGGGAUGGAAAUUUGUGUGUUGUUUUAGAUAUGCAAUUUCCGAUGACGCAUAUAAAACUACUUACUGCAAAAUGUCGACGUGGGCUACAUUUUAUGCAGUGUUUGCAAUCCCUGAUACGACGAAAAAUAGAACUAUCUUUGCGCAUCUACCAAUUAAUGUUCUCUACAUUUGAAAUUUCACACACAUAAAAAUUAUGCACCUGUUGUGCAUUUCAAAUCAUGUUUUGAUAUCCUCGUGACUGAAAUCGUAAAGGACAAAACUUCGCGAAUGAGUCAUCGUGAUUAUUACACAAUCAUCGGUUGAACUUUCAUACUUACUUGAAGGCAACACACGAAAUACUGACACUUGUUACUUUAAAAGACUCCCUAUCGUAGAAAUUUGAUGCUUUACUUACGUGAACACCACAAGCGAAUGGCACCAACAUCUGCCACGGGACGGUCUUCAUCUCUUUCUGUUUGUAAAAUGUAUCUAAAGAGAUGUAACUCGCAAAACUCAGAUCGAGGUUAUGGGCGUGUGUGUUUCGCGAAAAUGUGGACCCAUGAUUGGUUAUUGUACAUAUCAGUUAAUCGAUAGCAAUCUCUCACCAGAGGGCGUUACGCUACGCUCCACAACACAACGUAAAAGUGAAGCUUGCGAAGCGCGCCCUCUGGUGAGAGAAUGAAUCGAUAGUGAUAUAUCGUUGUGUUUUCUUUGUUUUUUGAUUACAGCAGGUUUAUCUGACCCUCCCGACCUUUUGGUUGUUGAUAGUUUGGUGGAGUGUUUAGUGUGUAUAGAGUUAUUAUUUGCAUGCAAUACUCAGAACGAAUUACAUGCAAAUAUUGGCGCAUUAGACACCACCCAACGCUGUGAUACGGCGUCGUGUACAUGUAACAACCACACGGAAACAGACACAGGGUUUAGUAUGUUUAGAAUUCUUUAUCCCAUGAACGUUUGGACAUUCGGUAUUUCUUUCGAUGAAAUUCCGUGUAUUUUUGUACUAUUCCACUCACAGCUCCUAAAUAAAUUUCACUUUUGUCAAACUGCGUACAAUAACCAAUAUCAACAUGCUGUGUUAGAACGCCCAUUCAUCAACUAUAUAUAUGGAAGACUCUAAAGUGCGAUUGUCACGCUAAAGUGCGAUGGUGUGGGGUUCAGCAACAUUUUGUGACGUCACAUCCUUCUUAACGUCUUUGAAAAUAAAACCGAAGAAAUGCAACAUUGACGACAGUAACAGCAAGGUUUACACCGUUGAGGAUAGUGAGAACGGCAAAGUACAUUUGUUGUCAAACUCUCUACUUCGCCCAAACAUUCUUAAAGGUAACUCCAUACUAGCAGUUCUAUCUGAUACAAGUUUAAAAUGUGUACUCAUUUCCAUUUAUUAGAGUUAAAACUAACAAAUUAUCAAAUAAAAUACAUAGGUCAUCACACUGUUUAAGAUGCGAGACGUACAUAAACAGAGUCAAAAAUCACCGUCAGAAAAUUGCAAUUUUCCUUAAACAGCGUAAUUAAAAUUCCAUACAAACUGGUUAUAACGAGAUAUUAGCAUUCAUAACAAUUUCAUGAAACUGUAUUUUCACAAAAAUACACAAAAUAUCUGUAAAAAAUAAUAAUAAAGGAAAUCAUCAAUAGAAACAGAGUUAUUGCCCUUGGAUUCAAUAUUUUAAAAAGUAUCAUUAAUUAUUCAUCUAUAACUUGACUUUUGAAAUAUUUUAUUUUUUAACAAGGUUUUUUUUUUACAAUAACUAAAGGAAAAGACUCGAAUAAAAGUUAUGUUCCUAUCAUGCAUAAAUCUAAAUAUAUCUGUUCAUUGAUUUUGCAAAAUCUGAUGACAUCACAGGAGGGUGGAAUUGCUUUAAUUCAUGAUAAUUUAUUAUUUUGAUGUACACAUAUUAGAUUCCUGGGGGUAUGUUAUAAUACAAAACAGUCUAUACGAUUUCGUGUUGGAAAAUUUUGUGUUUAAUAACACAACAACUAAAUGAUAAUGAAAUAAGUUCUUAUUCGUAUUUUUUGUGCUUGGAUUUUGCACUGAUAUUUUGGUGAAACAACACACGGUUGGUUCAGUCUGUACCAAAACACUGUGUCGUUUACAAACCAAUGGAUUUCGACGUGUCACACCAUCGCAGUUUGGCGUGUUAGACCAUCGCACUUUGGCGCAUGAGUGUGGACCAUCACACUUUGGCGUGUCACACCAUCGGGAUUUGGCGCAGAUCAUCGCACUGUGGCGUGACCAUCGCACUUUGGAUUCAUUCAUUUGUUUAUGUGAUUCAUAAUUUUGACGUUCAUCUGUACAUGUAUAUAUUUACAUUUACCUUUUAAUCCUUUGAUAAGAAAGAUUAGAAAUUUUCAAUGAUACCUGCUCACAAUGGUAAAGACCAAAUCAGCUGAAGUCUGUCACGCGUAUUAACACUCUUGCGCAUGGCGUUUGCAUCUCGACCCUACGUUUGCGAAUGAAAAAAAGUUGCUGCCCAUUCCUGUUUUAGACAACUUAAAUGCAUAUCAUUCGAUGCCUAGAUAAGUUGAUUUUACCUUUAAAUAAUGUAGUUAAUUUUACCAACCAAACACAAGACAUUAAUCCAAAUUGGGACUUUUUAAACAAUUCUUCAUUCAGUAAUUGUACUUUAAAUUUCUCGAAGUGACAACAUGGUCGACUGGCACCGGUUCACUACUUUAUACUGGUUACGCAUGUAUCUGCGCUGUUAAGGAUCAAAGUAACAGAAGAAACCUAUACGGAAAAACGACUUUACGGAAAAAGUCACAUUUGUUAUUCAUUAAUUAUUUAAUUUAGUUAUUUCUGUCGUACAUAGAUAUGAAUUUUUCAUUUUCAACCUUAAAUUCACUUUCUACAAUGUUGAGAUCAACCUUCGAAGUUGGCCUUAACUGCAUUUCCCCAUAUCUUUUAAAAAAUUAAUUUUGACAUAAAGUUUGACUUUGAAGCCUUUCAAGGUAUAGUGCAUGUAUUCUAGGGGCACUCCUGUCUUGGGGUCUACAUUCUCACCCCCACCCACCCCCACAUAAAAUAGGGGUACUGUUUUUGAAAUUCUGGCUCAUAUUUAUAGAGAUUCUAUCAUUGAUUAGAUAGAUCAAUCAGUUGCAUCGCUGGCAGUAUUCGCUGUGAUUGCUUCUAGUCAUGGUUCGAAUCCGCAUUACGUCACACAUUUAGUUUCAGUUUUUAUUUCGCAGUUUCAAUCCUUUUUUCAUAUCUUAUAAUUACAAAAUGUAUAUAUUUUCAUUCAAAUCCAUAUCCAUUCGUUACAUAAACGGCAUUAAAAAUUUAGAUUCUCAGUAUGAAAGUUGAAGAUAACAAACAGUGAUCAAUCUCAUAACUCCUAUAAGCAAUACAAAAUAGAUAGUACAUGCAAUCAAGUGGAACUAUCCUCGCCGUGGUCGAUUUUAUUCCAAGGACAAUGAUCAUUUAUUCUGCAUUACUCGACGGAAGCACAUAUGCUAAGGAAAAAAGCCCAACAUGCCACACAAGAAAAUUGUUGUGUUUGUCUGUCCAGAAUGUCUUUGGGAAAGAAUUGGUUCAUAUGUUGUUGUUCAUAUCACAUAGAGCUCAAAAUGCGUACACGCUGCAUGCAUCAUGCUAGUACAUCAUUGUAAGGUCUAGUAAAAGUUUACAUCUAUGUGUGUAUACUACAAUCAAGUACUCAGGCUUAGGUGAAAAUUUAGAAUGAUUUUGGGUGAACCUUUGGUGAGUACUAAAACCAGAUCUGGACUAAAGAUGAGAACUGUCUAACGUUUGUGAAUGAUUUAAUGUUUACGAUAUUUGAAUUGAAAAUCAAUUGAAGAAUUGGAUGGUUAUUUUUCAGCAUUGCACAGUUUCUUACGAUAUGGCAUCAUAUGUGCUGUUCCAUGGCUGUUCCGUUAAUCGCUACUUACCCAAAGGAUGUAAGAUGUACAUGUAGAUGAAAAAUGCACACAUUGAAAAGGUUUUUUUUUUUAAGUGUAGAUAUAAGAAAUAAAUUAUCAUUUUUCGAAAGAUAAAAUUUCACAACUGCAACUGUGUAUGCAAACAGAUUUGUCUAUAGCGUGUUACUGAAUUAGUAUAUUUAUACACUGUUGCAGUUAUCUUUAAGAAUAAUAAUUCAUCUCAUUUAAAACUAGAGCUAUCUCAUAUAAAUGGUGAUUGAUUCUAAAUGAUAUUAUCAAGAGGAGUGGAUCCAACAACAUUAUGUGAUAAAAACAAUUUAAGGAAUAUAUCUGUUUAUGUGCGAAGUUUUUACGCGGAGAAACUCUAUGUUUUGGCAGAGCUACGGCUCAAACUAUCUCAAUAAACCUAGUUUGUAUUCUCUCUGUUUUGUAUUUUCCCCUCACAUUUUUUGCUAUACUAUGCAUUGUAUGUAACAUGAGACCUCCAUGAAGAGGAAAUAAAAAACUGAAUGAAUGACUGUCAUUCUAUUAUGUCGUAUUAGCCAAUCAAAACACAAAUUACAGAACAGUUUCGAUUCAUUGGAAUGAAAAGUACCUAUACACUCACUUAUUUGUUUACUUGAGCAAUUAUAUUGUGAACACUAGAUGUAACAUAGCACAUUGUUUAAUUUUCAAGGAGUUAGAACAUAUAGACAACACUAACAGAGUGGUGUAACCUGCAUAGCCAUCGCCUAACUAUGUCUUUGUUUCGCGUUAUUACGUAUUUGUUUCUUCUUCCAAUAAUCUGCAUUCCACCUCUGGUGUAUUGUCGCAGAUGACAAUUUACAAAUGCCCAUGGGAACCACCGUACUAGCAAACUGUACGGUGAAUAUUUACAUCAGGUGCAGGUGCAGUUAAAAGCCAUAGCUGGUAUGGUAGUAUGUACAGCUAAAACAUUUUGGUAUUAUGGAAGGGCGGUCAUCUGGAGGCUGUCUUUGAAUCCAUCCAGUGUGGAAGCGGUGACAGCUCUUGUUGGUAGGUCAUUCCAAAGACGGAUGGUAGAUGGGAAGAAUGACUGAUGGUGGCCCUUUGUCCUAGAGUAGGGUACGAGGAAACGGAUGUCAUGUCCACGGGUUGUUACUGUGGUCACUCUAGGAAUGAGAUGAGUUGUUGGUAUCUCUAUGAGUUGGUGUAUGAUCCUGUAUAGCAUGAUGACUUUUGCUGUAUGUCUUCGUUGUUGUAACGUCUCCCAUUGCGAUCGUUCCAUCAUACUGGUCACACUACUGGUGGUUCUGUAGUCUCCAAUGACAAAACGUGCAGCUCUUCUUAGCACCAUUUCUAGUCUGUUGAUAUUGACUGUGUCACUGGGUCACAUAUCACUGAUGCAUAUUCCAUCACUGGUCUCGCUAGGGUGAUGUAGCAUUGCUCCUUGAUCUUACUAGGACAUUUGUUGAUGUUUCUUCUAAGGAAUGCAUUGAUGUUGUUUGACUUCUGAAUUACUGUUCCAAUAUGGGUGUUUCAUGAUAGGUUGCUGCUGAUGUUAAGACCUAAAUACUUUGCUGAUUUUACUGUAGCUAGUGGUUUUCCAUGGAUGGUGUAGUCAGUAAUGAUGGUUUCCUCUUGUUGGUAACUCUCAGUAUCUCACAUUUGUGUGGGUUGAAUUGCAUCAGCCAAGUGUCUUCCCAGUUUUGCAGGUUGUCUAGAUCUUCUUGGAGUAGUCUUGCAUCCUCUGUUGUACUGAUCUUUCUGUACAGUAGGCAGUCAUCUGCGAAUAAUUUGGCUCUUGAUGAUACUAAUUCAGGUAAGUCAUCGAUGUAUAUCAGGGAGAGUAGCAGCCCCAUCACAGUUCCUUAGGGCACGCCUGUGGUGACUUUAGAUGUUUCUGACUUCUUCCCAUCCAGAAGUACCUGUUGUGUUCGGCCUUGUAGGAAGCUGGUAAUCCAAUUAAGUGUGUUUCCUCGGAUUCCGUAGUAUUGGCAUUUGUUGAGCAGGCAUUGGUGAGGCACUUUAUCAAAUGCCUUGGGGAAGUCUAGUAGGAUGCAAUCCAUUUGUUCUCCGGAGUUGAGUGCAUCUGCUAGCUCUUGGAUAGUGAUAAAUUAGCUGUGACUGACAUGAUCUCUUCUUUCUAAAUCCGUGUUGGUACGUGGACAGAAUGUUAUUCUUUUCAAGGUGUGAUAUGAUGUUACUGUGUAUUAUGUGCUCCAUGAGUUUGCAACAAAUUGAAGCCAACGAGACAGGGCGAUAGUUGGAAGCCUUCCCUCUGUCACCCUUUUUGAGUAAGGGUAUGAUGUGUGCUUCUUUCCACUGUUCUGGUAUUCUACCUUUAUGUAUUGAGGCGUUGAAUAUGGUAGUCAGGAUAGGUGUAAUUUCCUUUGAUAGUUCUUUUAAAAGUCUGCCUGGAAUGCAGUCUGGUCCAGUGGCUUUAUGUGGGUUAAUAUUCCGGAGCAGUUUGUCGACUCCUUCAUGGUGUACUGAGAUGUCUGGUACUUUGGGGUAUGGAUUAUCUCCUUUGUUUGGUAUAUGGUCUUAAUUCUCUGUUGUGAAUACUGAGGUAAAUUGGUCAUUCAGUAUGUUGGAUUUACUUCCGAUGUCACAGUGAAGUAUAUCAUCCUUCCGCAAUGGUGCUACAUCUGAAGAUUCUGUGCGUCUACUCUUGAUAAAUCUGUAGAAUCGUUUUGGGUUAUUGGAAUGAUCGUCAGUUAGCAUGUUUGAUAUGUAGGAAUUGUAUGUUUUUCUGCAUUUGGAUUGAACAUGCUUCUUCAUUAUCCUGUAUUUUCCCCAGUCUUUCUUAUUGCCUGAUUGUCUUUUUCUGUUGUAUGUAGGUUGUUUGUUCUUAGUAAGACGCUUGAUUUCUCCAGUUAUCCAAUUUGGUUGUAUCUUUGGCUUGUGUAUUUUGAUGGUAUGAACUUCUCCACAAGUUGACUGCAAAGUAAAUUUAUUCCAUAGUUUGUUGACAUCAGUUGACUCUGUAUAGUUUUCAUUGAAUUCCUCAGCAAAUACUGUCGUGUUGCUGUGAAGUGACUUAAUGUCUGCUUUUUUUCCACAAAUAAAUUUUAUGUCUCGAUGGUUUCUAGUAUUUUGCUUUCGUCGGUGUUUCAAUAAAUGGGAUAGUAUCAUGAUCACUUAUUCCCGGAGUACCAGUACAUCUCUGGAUCAAGUUGGGGCGGUUAGUGAAAAAUAUGUCCAAAAUUGAUUCCUCACAUGUCUGAAAUUCUACUACUUGUGAUAGUCCUGUGUCGACUGCAGUUGUAAGGAAGUGUUCAUUUAAUUCUUUCGGAUAUUUGUUGCCAUUUACUGUAUCUGUGUUCCAAUCUAUGUCUGGUACAUUGACAUCUCCUCCAAUUCAUAUAGUUGAUGUUGGAAAUUUUUCUUUAUGUCGUUGCAUAAUGCCAUGGCAUGGUUUACAUCUCUAUUUGGUUGGCGAUAGAAAGAUGACACUAUGAGUGGUGUAUAUCCUGGUGUUUCUAUUUGCACGGUUAUUAUUUCGCUCUCAGUAUUGAUGUCAACUAUACUGCUAAGAAGCUCUGAUUUAAUAGCUAUUAAUACACCGCCAUACCCGUCUUGUCUAUCUUUGCGAUAUACUUCAUAUACUGGUGGUAUAAUAUCUUGGUUUGUAAUUGUUGGUCUUAACAACCCGCAGCCCCCCCAAGCUGAGAAUUGUUUUUAUCAUAAUUAUAAUAUGUAAUAAAAAUUUAACGCAAAUAUUUGUAAGCACGUGCAUACAGUGCUACAGUAUAGCUACGCCACUGCAGGUUGCAUCACUCUAUUUAUGUGGAGGUUCACGUCGAAUCAUGGCCGAAAGAAAAUAAUUCCUAGAACUUUGCAUGUGUUAUGGGACUUUCCUUAUGAGGUAGGCUCUCCAAUAUUUUGUGAGAUGUAAAUUCAAGUAUUGUGUUUGAAAAUUUGUGAGUAAAAACCAUGAAAGAAGGAUUUAAAUAUUUUUUUGGAUUUUUGUUGUAGGGAUGGGUGAUUUGGCUUUUGACCAGCUGAUUUUGCACGUGCUUGACUUCGAUGUAAACAAACUCUCACGCCUUGCUGGAUGGACACAAUAUAGGGAGGAUUCAGUAAACAAGAUACAUGCUAUUUUUGAAUACUCUUUAUAGACAAUGGCUACUUAUAGCCACUGUCUUAUGCUGUCGCUUCAUUUUUGAUAUGUUAUUAUAAAUGACAAUCAAAUAAAAAUGUUUUUCACCAUCAA